UAGGGAAUCUUCGGCAAUGGACGAAAGUCUGACCGAGCAACGCCGCGUGAGUGAAGAAGGUUUUCGGAUCGUAAAACUCUGUUGUUAGAGAAGAACAAGGACGUUAGUAACUGAACGUCCCCUGACGGUAUCUAACCAGAAAGCCACGGCUAACUACGUGCCAGCAGCCGCGGUAAUACGUAGGUGGCAAGCGUUGUCCGGAUUUAUUGGGCGUAAAGCGAGCGCAGGCGGUUUCUUAAGUCUGAUGUGAAAGCCCCCGGCUCAACCGGGGAGGGUAAUUGGAAACUGGGAGACUUGAGUGCAGAAGAGGAGAGUGGAAUUCCAUGUGUAGCGGGGAAAUGCGUAGAUAUAUGGAGGAACACCAGUGGCGAAGGCGGCUCUCUGGUCUGUAACUGACGCUGAGGCUCGAAAGCGUGGGGAGCAAACAGG
rnacentral:rRNA from 1 species